AAUCUUUCAUGGCAUACCUGAUAAUCUCUCAUGCAUCGGUGGUUAGGCAUCACAGGUUUAGGACUGUUCUACAAUUGAUUUUUGAGGUAGUUUUUGUGUAAGGUUAAACAGAUGCUCCACAAUUUGAUGGGAGCAGCAGCCAAGUCCACUGCAGGAUACAACACAUGCAUAACGCAGUUUAUAGCCUCAGCUGGAGAGGAUAUUUCCUGAGAGCUUCCUGCUGAAUCAUUGAGAAGGAAUCAUCAAGUGACAGGAAAUAACAGGAUGUGGCAACACCGCCCACAGUUGCCGUCUUUGAAUCAGUAUGGAAAGGGUUGUCCAAUCCUCACCACAAGGGGGAAGAUUCAGGUCAUAAGACGAUCACAUUAGAUUUUUAAAACAGACCGAAGGUCCACCGUGGGUCAAUUCCCAUGGGUCAAUUGGCACGUGUUGCAAGAAGAAGGUAGGUUCUUCUGAUGCUCCAGCCAGGGGGGAAGUCGUGCACCGGGUGGCUCUUGACGUGACUCUGCAUGGCCACCAGACUGCUGCAGAACUCCAAGCAUAGGGUGCACCGGUAAGGAGACGCCCCGCCGUGAG